rnacentral:rRNA from 1 species
CACGUAGGCACCAAGCGUUGUCCGGAUUUAUUGGGCGUAAAGAGCUCGUAGGCGGUGUGUCGCGUCGGUCGUGAAAACUUGGGGCUUAACCCUGAGCUUGCGGUCGAUACGGGCAUCACUGGAGUUCGGCAGGGGAGACUGGAAUUCCUGGUGUAGCGGUGAAAUGCGCAGAUAUCAGGAGGAACACCGGUGGCGAAGGCGGGUCUCUGGGCCGAUACUGACGCUGAGGAGCGAAAGCGUGGGGAGCGAACAGG